rnacentral:rRNA from 1 species
GGGAACCCACUGUCCGUAAUGGGGCAGUAUCCAUGCCUGAAUCCAUAGGGCAUGGAGGGCACACCCGGGGAACUGAAACAUCUUAGUACCCGGAGGAGAAGAAAGCAAACGCGAUUCCCUGAGUAGCGGCGAGCGAAACGGGAACAGCCCAAACCAAGAGGCGUGCCUCUUGGGGUUGUAGGACCGCUCAUUGUGGGAGUGAGAAAGGAACGGGGUAGACGAACCGGUCUGGAACGGCCGGCCAGAGAAGGUGACAGCCCUGUAGUCGAAACUUCGUUCCCUCCCGAGCGGAUCCUGAGUACGGCGGGACACGGGAAAUCCCGUCGGAAGCAGGGAGGACCAUCUCCCAAGGCUAAAUACUCCCUAGUGACCGAUAGUGCACCAGUACCGUGAGGGAAAGGUGAAAAGCACCCCGGAAGGGGAGUGAAAGAGAACCUGAAACCGUGUGCCUACAAGUAGUCAGAGCGCGUUCAUGCGUGAUGGCGUGCCUUUUGUAGAAUGAACCGGCGAGUGACGAUGGCGUGCGAGGUUAAGCCGAAGAGGCGGAGCCGCAGCGAAAGCGAGUCUGAACAGGGCGAAAAGUACGUCGUCGUCGACCCGAAACCAGGUGAUCUACCCAUGUCCAGGGUGAAGGCCGGGUAACACCGGCUGGAGGCCCGAACCCACGCACGUUGAAAAGUGCGGGGAUGAGGUGUGGGUAGGGGUGAAAUGCCAAUCGAACUUGGAGAUAGCUGGUUCUCCCCGAAAUAGCUUUAGGGCUAGCCUCGGGAUGGAGAGUGUUGGAGGUAGAGCACUGAUUGGGCUAGGGGCCCUCAUCGGGUUACCGAACCCAGUCAAACUCCGAAUGCCAACGACUUAUGCCCGGGAGUCAGACUGCGAGUGAUAAGAUCCGUGGUCGAGAGGGAAACAGCCCAGAUCGCCAGCUAAGGCCCCAAAGUGCACGUUCAGUGGAAAAGGAUGUGGAGUUGCAAAGACAACCAGGAUGUUGGCUUAGAAGCAGCCACCAUUUAAAGAGUGCGUAAUAGCUCACUGGUCGAGUGACUCUGCGCCGAAAAUGUACCGGGGCUAAACGUGCCGCCGAAGCUGCGGGAUGACCGUUGGUCAUCGGUAGGGGAGCGUUCUAAGGGCGUUGAAGCCAGACCGGAAGGACUGGUGGAGCGCUUAGAAGUGAGAAUGCCGGUAUGAGUAGCGAAAACAGAGGUGAGAAUCCUCUGCGCCGAAAGCCUAAGGGUUCCUGAGGAAGGUUCGUCCGCUCAGGGUUAGUCGGGACCUAAGCCGAGGCCGAAAGGCGUAGGUGAUGGACAACAGGUUGAGAUUCCUGUACCACCUCCUUCCCGUUUGAGCGAUGGGGGGACGCAGGAG